rnacentral:misc_RNA from 1 species
UCUCUCUCUCUCUCUCUCUCUCUCAUGGCCACCCAGGAAGAGGGUAUCAAGCUCUUUGGCACAACAAUCACGUUGCAUGCUAAACAAGUUAAAGAAGAUCAAAAUAAAGAAAAUCCAUCGCCUGAAAAGAGGCCGGAGAAGAUCAUUCCAUGCCCUAGAUGCAAGAGCAUGGAGACUAAAUUUUGUUACUUCAACAACUAUAAUGUUAACCAGCCUAGGCACUUCUGCAAGGGCUGCCAGAGGUACUGGACUGCAGGUGGAGCUCUUCGUAAUGUUCCCGUUGGUGCGGGCCGACGGAAAACCAAGCCACCAGGCCGUGGUGGGCUUGGUGGGUUCCCAGAAGGGUGCUUGUAUGAUGGCUCAGGUGAUAUGCAUCAGAUUGAGCUGGAUAGUGAGAUGCUGGUUGAGGAGUGGCACGUGGCCGCCCACGGUGGUUUCCGGCAUGUUUUCCCUGUGAAGCGUCGGAGGAGUAGUUCAGGUUGUCAAACUUGUUGAUUUUGACAUUUUGUCUUUAUCUUCAAAGAGAAUAUAUAUGCACAC